rnacentral:rRNA from 1 species
UACGGAGGGGGCUAGCGUUGUUCGGAAUUACUGGGCGUAAAGCGCACGUAGGCGGACCAGAAAGUUGGGGGUGAAAUCCCAGGGCUCAACCUUGGAACUGCCUUUGAAACUAUCAGUCUGGAGUUCGAGAGAGGUGAGUGGAAUUCCGAGUGUAGAGGUGAAAUUCGUAGAUAUUCGGAGGAACACCAGUGGCGAAGGCGGCUCACUGGCUCGAUACUGACGCUGAGGUGCGAAAGCGUGGGGAGCAAACAGG